rnacentral:rRNA from 1 species
UACGUAGGCAGCGAGCGUUGUUCGGAGUUACUGGGCGUAAAAAGUGCGUAGGCGGUUUUCUAAGUUUGGUGUGAAAUCUCCCGGCUUAACUGGGAGGGUGCGCCGAAGACUGGAAGGCUUGAGUAUGGGAGAGGUAAGCGGAAUUCCUGGUGUAGCGGUGAAAUGCGUAGAUAUCAGGAGGAACACCUGCGGUGUAGACGGCUUACUGGACCAUAACUGACGCUGAGGCACGAAAGCGUGGGUAGCAAACAGG